ACGGGUGAUCAUACCAGCAAUAAUGCACCGGAUCCCAUCAGAACUCCGAAGUUAAGCUUGCUUGGGCGAGAGCAGUACUAGGAUGGGUGACCUCCUGGGAAGUCUCGUGUUGCACCCCUC
rnacentral:rRNA from 1 species